rnacentral:lncRNA from 1 species
UGUUGUGCUUCUUAUUAUCAAGUCUCCGUGGUUUUGUCGAAUUAUAUCAUGUUUGCUAUCAUCGAUGUGGUUUUGAUGUGGUUUUGUCGGAUUGAAGAACGCCAAUUCUGAAUAUGAUUCUUUAUGUGAUGAUGGCGAUUUUUGAAUCUUUUGAUCAAAUUCCUUUAUCCUUUUCAGCUGGUGACGGGGUCUCUGAGAUUUUUCUUCUACUUUCCUUUCUAUUAUUUGAUUUAUCUGGUAUUGAUCACGAAAAUAAGAAUUGGACUAUGAUUUGUUUAUCUGCAGUGGUGUAACACGUCUCUAUACUUCUUCCUUUUAUUAAGAGCUUAGUUCGUUUUCUUGAAUUUUUGGGUUGUACAGGGAAGACACACAAUGGAUGUGAAAUGAAGAUUAUGUUUUGUUACCCUUAACUUUUUUAUGGGUUUAUUCGUGACUGAUCAUUUGAUUUCGUAGUCUAACUUUGUGUUUAUGUUCACUCCCCUUCAGCAAUUGGAGUUUCUGAGAUUUGAAACCCUAAAAAGUUUAAAACGGUUGCAGCUCAGGAUAUCCCAAUUCUCUCUAUCUAUUGUUUAAUUUCUCUCUACUUGAUCUCCAAGGAUUGAAUUGUGUUCGACGUUUGAAUUAUUUUCCCUUAAUGUCCUGCAACAUCUCAUGGAGUAUGUUAUGAGGCCCCAAGGAUUGAAUUGGUGUUUGAAUUAUUUUCGCUUAAUGUCCUGCAGAGUAUGUUAUGAGACAUAAGGGUUGAAUUGUGAUUUGUUUCCUGUUUGGAUGAUUUGCACAGUGUCCUGCAUCUUAUAGAAUAUGAAUGACUUGGUUUUCGCACGGUUCUCGCGAGUAUGUUAUGGCCACCAUUCUUCCUUGGUUUUUUAAGUCUUCAAUUUAUCUUAUCAUUCUAUACUUCGUCCUCGAUUACCAGUUAUACUUUCUUCAAUUAUUGUUCUUUACAGGGGUGUGGGGGUAGGACAGGGAUCAAGUUCCUAUAACUAGUAAAUUCAUUUACGUGAAUUUUGAGUAUAAUUCUCUAUUUGAGUAUGAUGAGUUUUAUACCUUAUUGCUUAAAUUUCUUUUCAGCUGGUGGCUGGUUUUUUGGCAUUUCUUUUGCCUAUAGAUGAUAUGGAAAGCACACCGACCAAGGGCUCGACAUAACCUUAAGUCUUUUUUGAGUUUCCCUUAUAUUUUUUUUUAUGGUAUUACAAAAGGAUUGAACUAUGAUUUGUUUAUCUGCAGUGGUGUUUGGAUUAGUUGGGUAAUGUCACAUAUUCAACUUAUAAAGUUUCUGUAAUUAGUAAAUUCAUUUAGGUGAAUUCUGAGUACAAUUUUCUAUUUGAAGAUGACGAAUUUUAAACCUUUUGCAUAAAUUUCUUUGCACCUUUUCAGUUGGUGGCUGGUUCUCUGGCAUUUCUUUUGCCUAUGGAUGAUAUGAAAAGCACAAUAACCAAGGGGCUCGUCAUAACCUAAGUCUUUUUUGAGUUUUCCUUCUUUUUUUCUUUUUUCCUGGUAUUGUUCACAGUACAUAAGGAUUAAACUAUGGUUUGUUUAUUUGCAGUGGUGUUUGGAUUAGAUGGGUAACAACGCAUAUUCAUCGUAUCAAGUUUCUAUAACUAGUAAAUUCAUUUACGUCAAUUUUGACUAUAAUUUUCUAUUUGAGUAUGACGAGGAAAAUUACUUCAAUUUCUUUUCAUUUGACCAAGGGCUCAACAUAACCUUAAAUCUUUUUUGAGUUUCCCUUAUAUUUUUUUUAUGGUAUUACAUAAGGAUUGAACUAUGAUUUGUUUAUCUGCAGUGGUGUUUAGAUUAGUUGGGUAACGUGCAGAUUCAUUUUAUCAAGUUUCUAUAACUAGUAAAUUCAUUUACGUGAAUUUUGAGUAUAAUUAUCUAUUUGAGUAUGAUGAGUUUUAAACCUGUUGCGUAAAUUUCUUUUCAGCUGGUAGCUGGUUUUUUGGCAUUUCUGUUGCUUAUGGAUGAUAUGAAAAGCACAACAACCAAGGGCUAGACAUAACCUUAAGUCUUUUUUGAGUUUCCCUUCUAUUAUUUUUUUAUGGUUCUACAUAAGGAUUGAACUAUGAUUUGUUUAUCUGCAGUGGUGUUUUGGAUUAGUUGGGUAAAUUUCUUUGCUCCUUUUCAGCUGGAGUUCUCUGGCAUUUCUUUCUCCUAUGGAUGAUAUGAAAAGCAGAAGGACCAAGGGCCUCGACAUAACCUAUUUUUCUGCUACGGACUAUGAUUUGUUUAUCUGCAGUGGUGUAACACGUUUCUAUACUUCUUCCUUUUAUUAAGAGCUUAGUUCGUUUUCUUGAUUUUUUUGCUGUAUAGGUAGUUCGUUUUCUUGAAUUUUUGGGCUAUACAGGGAAGGCACGGAAUGGAUGUGAAAUGAAGUAUUAUGUUUUGUUACCUUUAAGUCUUUUUUGAGUUUCCCUUCUAUUAUUUUUUUAUGGUUUUACAUAAGGAUUGAACUAUGAUUUGUUUAUCUGCAGUGGUGUUUUGGAUUAGUUGGGUAACGUUGCAUAUUCUUCUUAUCAAGUUUCUAUAAUUAGUAAAUUCAUUUAGGUCUAUAUGAGGAUGACGAGUUUUGAACCUUCUGCGUAAAUUUCUUUGCACCUUUUCAGCUGGAGUUCUCUGGCAUUUAUUUCUCCUAUGGAUGAUAUGAAAAGCAGAAGGAUCAAGGGGCUCGACAUAACCUAAGUCUUUUUUGAGUUUUAUUUCUUCUUUUUUUUCCUGGUAUUUAUGACAGUACAUAAGGAUUGAACUAUGAUUUGUUUAUCUGCAGUGGUGUUUGGAUUAGUUGGAUAACGACGCAUAUUCAUCUUACAAGUUUCUAUAACUAGUAAAUUCAUUUACGUGAAUUUUGAGUAUAAUUCUCUAUUUGAGUGUGACGAGUUUUAAACCUUUUGCCUAUCUGGUAUUGAUCACGAAAAUAAGGAUUGGACUAUGAUUUGUUUAUCUGCAGUGGUGUAACACGUCUCUAUACUUCUUCCUUUUAUUAAGAGCUUAGUUCGUUUUCUUGAAUUUUUGGGUUGUACAGGGAAGACACACAAUGGAUGUGAAAUGAAGAUUAUGUUUUGUUACCCUUAACUUUUUUAUGGGUUUAUUCGUGACUGAUCAUUUGAUUUCGUAGUCUAACUUUGUGUUUAUGUUCACUCCCCUUCAGCAAUUGGAGUUUCUGAGAUUUGAAACCCUAAAAAGUUUAAAACGGUUGCAGCUCAGGAUAUCCCAAUUCUCUCUAUCUAUUGUUUAAUUUCUCUCUACUUGAUCUCCAAGGAUUGAAUUGUGCUCGACUAUUUUACCUUAAAGUCCUGCAGCAUCUCAUGGAGUGUGUUAUGAGGCCCUAAGGGUUGAAUUGGUGUUUGAAUUAUUUUCGCCUAAUGUCCUGCAGAGUAUGUUAUGAGAUUUAAGGGUUGAAUUGUGAUUUGUUUCCUGUUUGGAUGAUUUGCAUAGUGUCCUGCAUCCUAUGGAAUAUGUAUGGUUUUCGCACGGUCAUCGCGAGUAUGUUAUGGCCACCAUCUUCCUUGGUUAUUUAAGUCUUCAAUUUAUCUUAUCGUUCUAUAGUUCAUCCUUGAUUACCAGUUAUACUUUGUUGAAUUAUUGUUCUUCACAGGGAUGUGUGGGGGUAGGACAGGGAUGUGUGGGUAGGACUUUCCUCGUGGUUGGUUGAAAAUGAUGGAUGAGUCAUGCUUGACGGUAUGAAAAACACAAUGACAAAGGGCUCGACAUAACCUAAGUCUUUUUUGAGUUUUCCUUAUAUUUUUUCUUUUUCCUGUUAUUGAUCACAGUACAUAAGGAUAUGAUUUGUUUAUCUGCAGUGGUGUUUGGAUUGGUUACGAUGCAUAUUCAUCUUACAAGUGGUGGCUGGUUUUUUGGCAUUUCUUUUACCUAUGGAUUAUAUGAAAAGCACAACGACCAAGCAUUUCUAUUAUUUUUAUGGUAUUACAUAAGGAUUGAACUAUGAUUUGUUUAUAUGCAGUGGUGUUUGGAUUAGUUGUGUAACGUCUAUGUUCAUCGAAUCAAGUUUCUGUAAUUAGUAAAUUCAUUUAGGUGAAUUCUGAGUAUAAUUCUCUAUUUGAGGAUGACGAGUUUUAUCCUUUUGCAUAAAUUUCUUCUCACCUUUUCAGUUGGUGGCUGGUUCUCUGGCAUUUCUUUUGGCUAUGGAUGAUAUGAAAAGCACAACGACCAAGGGGCUCGACAUAACCUUCAAGUCUUUUUUGAGUUUUCCUUCUAUUUUUCUUUAUCCCGGUAUUGAUCACAAUACAUAAGGAUAUGAUUUGUUUAUCUGCAGUGGUGCUUGGAUUAGUUGGGUAACGUAGCAUAUUCAUCUUAUCAAAUUUCUAUAAUUAGUAAAUUCAUUUAGGUGAAUUCUGAGUAUAAUUCUCUAUUUGAGGAUGAAGAGUUUUGAACCUUUCGCAUAAAUUUUUUUUCACCUUUUCAGCUGGUGGCUGGUUCUCUGGCUUUUUUUUUGCCUAUGGUGAUAUGAAGAGAACAACGACCAAGGGCUCAACAUAACCUAAGUCUUUUUUUAGUUUUGCUUCUAUUAUUUAUAUUUUCUGGUAUUGAUCACCUACCACAAGGAUUGUAAUAUGUUUUUUUUUAUCUGCAGUGGUGUUUGUGUAACGUCGCAUAUUCAUCUUAUCAACUUUCUAUACUUCCUCCCUCUUAUUAGCGAUUAUCUUUUCCUUCAAUUUUUGGACUGUACAGGGUUUAUCGUUUCCUUCAGUUAAAUUCGGUUUUCGUGUUCAUUCCUUUUCAGCAAGUCCCGAGUCUGAGAUUUCUUUUGGCGGUUGAGGAACUAGAGUUUAGAAUGGUUGCACAUCAGGAUAUCCUAAUUUCUCAAUGAGUGUAUCCUCUAUUAUUUUAUUUAAUCUCAGCAGCGGUGUUUAGAUGAUUUUUGCUUAUUGUACUUCAUCUCAUGAGUGUGUUAGGAGGGCGACAGUGUCUCCCUUAAUUUUUUGAUUUAUCUAAUCAUCCGUUAUAGAUUUGUUGUAUUAUUGUUCUUUAGGGAUGUGUGGGCUUAUAGUUUUGUUGAAUUAUUGUUCUUUACAGGGAUGUGUUGGGUAGGACGUGGAAACCAUGUCGGGAUAUUUCUUGAACUGUGAAUCAUUCGUUUUUUUUCCUACUCUUACACUAGUUUUUUCUAUUGCAUUAGUUUGUAUUUGGCCAACCUUGUUGGUUCGAUUUUUAUUUUUUCUUCUUAGGCAUAACCAAAUAAAUAUUGGAGGGCUAAUGAAUGUCCUAUUUUAACAUAUGAUCACGACAAAUGGUCUCUUGGCAGCUUGAUUUUAUGAUCCGUGUCUCUAUGCACUGUGACCUUAGGCACUUUGGUGGUCUCAGGCCUAGAUAAAUUGAAAAGAAGUAUCUUGGAGUCAUUCCCUUCAUUUUAGUAGUGGUAAUUAGCAAGAGCUCAGGACUAUUUGGCUCCAAUUUUUUUAUUACAAAACUUUAUUUUGUCUUAGUUUUCUUUUUUUGACAAAUGAAUUUUCGGAAACAGUGAAUGGAGGUCCAGUGAAACUUUAGGUUUUAUUAUCUUUGCAUUCAUUAUUAUUUUCUUUGCGGUUAUUCUUUUGGCUAACCUUGUGGCUAAACAUGUAGAGUGGCAGUUCUUGUAAACAGGCACUAUAUGAGUAUGAUAGGCUUUGACAUUUGUUUUGUUGUGCCUUCGAUUAUCUUCUUCUACUUGGGUUGCAGUGACUUACUAUGAGCGGUUCCCAUGGUUUUCAAUUUUUGAAUUUACCUUAACUUUUCUUUACUCUGUCAUGUCAUGCUUUUAAGAAAAUUAGUUUUCUCAAAUCCCCAUGCUUCUGGUUGAGCUUUUACAGGAAAACUAUAGAUAUAUGGGGCAGGUUUCGGAAAUAAUUAUUGGACUUUACAGGGAAUUCAUGGGCUACCCAAAAUGAGGUGUGAAUUAUGUGAUAUGUGAAGCUCAAUGUUUUUAUUAACGGUACAUUGUAGUAUCUGAAUUAAUUUUUAACUGGCUCAACUUGUUGGUUUGAUUAUAAUCUUGGUUGUAUUUUGAUGGUGUAUGGUUCAUAAGUGGCAUUGUGAGCAUGGGACAAGUGCGGUUGGACUUUAUUUUUUGAUUUGAUAGUUUGCUUCUUGGUUUGAAAAGUUUAGGAUUUAGGGUUUAUUUGACGCCUUUUGGAUAAUCCUCUGAUAUAGGUCUUUGGCUCUUUAUUAGUUUUCCAAACCUUUGAUUCAUUAUUCUUGAUGAGUAAGCAUAUGGGUUGAGUUGUUGAGGUAUGAAUUUGUUUGAAAUUGUUUCAUGUCCCUGGAGUCUUAUUUUGACUGACAGCAAUGUCUCUUACUAUGAAUGACAGUAAUCUCUGAGCCUAUUAUGUGUAUGGAAAUUUUUGAAGUCAGUAUAAUAAUAUCUCACAACUUUGGUCACAUUUCUAUUUUACAUAUAAAUUAUUAACAAAGGGAGGAGAUAAAACAAGUUGUUAUGUAGUAGUAGAAUCUAUUUCUCUUUGAAAUUAUUGUUAAGGACCUACGAGUCAAGUUUUUAUAUUUAAUUUUUUUCCUAUACCAGUCAAUGAUAUAACUCAGCCGUGAAUCUUGAUCAUUCCUUUCUAUAUAUAUACCCAAUAUCUGUUUUGUUGGUAUUGCUUCAGUUAUUGUUGUGAUUCUUUACAAGGUUUUGUGGAAUUACAUGAUGUUUGUGUCGUGGGAUAGAAGAAUUAUUAAGAAUUAUUAGUAAACCGCUUCAUGAAAUUUGAUAUUAGUUUUUUUUUUUCCUUUUUAAAAUGCAGAGGUUUCAAUAUUCAUCAAAUUAAAUGCAUUAGUCAAAUGUUAAAUGCAAUAGUCACAUGGUUUUUAUAAUAAAAUUUAAAUAUAAUAAUAAUAUUAUAUGUAUAUAUAUAUUAUUUUUUAUUAUUGGCCUUUUUGUAAUAAAAUUUAAAUAUAAUAAUAAUAUUGUAUAUAUAUAUAUUAUUUUUUAAAUUAAAAUAAUAACUAUGUGUCUAUUUU